rnacentral:rRNA from 1 species
ACUACGGGUGGCAGCAGUGAGGAAUAUUGGUCAAUGGACGAGAGUCUGAACCAGCCAAGUAGCGUGAAGGAUGACUGCCCUAUGGGUUGUAAACUUCUUUUAUAUGGAAAUAAAAUGUUCCACGGUGGGGUUUUUGUAUGUCCCAUAUAAAUAAGAAUCGGCUAACUCCGUGCAGGCAGCGGCGGUAAUACGGAGGAACCGGAGGUUAUCCGGAUUUAUUGGUUUUAAAGGGAGCGUAGGUGGAUUGUUAAGUCGGUUGUGAAAGUUUGCGGCUCAACCGUAAAAUUGCAGUUGAAACUGGCAGUCUUGAGUACAGUAUAGGUGGGCGGAAUUCGUGGUGUAGCGGUGAAAUGCUUAGAUAUCACGAAGAACUCCGAUUGCGAAGGCAGCUCACUGGACUGCAACUGACACUGAGGCUCGAAAGUGUGGGUAUCAAACAGGAUUAGAUACCCCAGUAGUC